rnacentral:rRNA from 1 species
GACGAACGCUGGCGGCGUGCUUAACACAUGCCAGUCGAACGGAAAGGCCCUGCUUUUGUGGGGUGCUCGAGUGGCGAACGGGUGAGUAACACGUGAGUAACCUGCCCUUGACUUUGGGAUAACUUCAGGAAACUGGGGCUAAUACCGGAUAGGAGCUCCUGCUGCAUGGUGGGGGUUGGAAAGUUUCGGCGGUUGGGGAUGGACUCGCGGCUUAUCAGCUUGUUGGUGGGGUAGUGGCUUACCAAGGCUUUGACGGGUAGCCGGCCUGAGAGGGUGACCGGCCACAUUGGGACUGAGAUACGGCCCAGACUCCUACGGGAGACAGCAGUGGGGAAUAUUGCACAAUGGGCGGAAGCCUGAUGCAGCAACGCCGCGUGCGGGAUGACGGCCUUCGGGUUGUAAACCGCUUUCGCCUGGGACGAAGCGUGAGUGACGGUAAUGGGUAAAGAAGCACCGGCUAACUACGUG